rnacentral:rRNA from 1 species
GACGAACGCUGGCGGCGUGCUUAACACAUGCAAGUCGAACGAGUGGCGAACGGGUGAGUAAUACGUGAGUAACCUGCCCUCCUUUUUGGGAUAAGCCUUGGAAACGGGGUCUAAUACCGGAUAAAGGGGGAUGGGCUCGCGGCCUAUCAGCUUUUUGGUGGGGUGAUGGCUACCAAGGCGUGACGGGUAGCCGGCCUGGGAGGGUGGCCGGCCGCAUUGGGACUGCGAUACGGCCCAGACUGCUACGGGCGGCAGCGGUGGAAAGUAUUGCCGAAUGGGCGGAAGCCUGAUGAAGAGACGCCGCGUGGGGGAUGAAGGCCUUCGGGUUGUAAACUCCUUUCGACAGGGACGCGGUACCUGUCUAAGAAGCACCGGCUAACUACGUGCCAGCAGCCGCGGUAAUUC